UACGUAGGUGGCAAGCGUUGUCCGGAUUUAUUGGGUUUAAAGGGUGCGUAGGCGGCCCUGUAAGUCAGUGCUGAAAUACCCCGGCUUAACCGGGGGGGUGGCAUUGAUACUGCAGGGCUUGAGUACAGAUGAGGUAGGCGGAAUUGACGGUGUAGCGGUGAAAUGCAUAGAUAUCGUCAAGAACACCGAUAGCGAAGGCAGCUUACUGGGCUGUAACUGACGCUGAGGCGCGAAAGCGUGGGGAGCGAACAGG
rnacentral:rRNA from 1 species